UUGAUGUUUUAUUCCUGCUCAGAUUGAACGCUGGCGGCAGGCCUAACACAUGCAAGUCGAGCGGUAGCACAGAGAGCUUGCUCUCGGGUGACGAGCGGCGGACGGGUGAGUAAUGUCUGGGAAACUGCCUGAUGGAGGGGGAUAACUACUGGAAACGGUAGCUAAUACCGCAUAACGUCGCAAGACCAAAGUGGGGGACCUUCGGGCCUCAUGCCAUCAGAUGUGCCCAGAUGGGAUUAGCUAGUAGGUGGGGUAACGGCUCACCUAGGCGACGAUCCCUAGCUGGUCUGAGAGGAUGACCAGCCACACUGGAACUGAGACACGGUCCAGACUCCUACGGGAGGCAGCAGUGGGGAAUAUUGCACAAUGGGCGCAAGCCUGAUGCAGCCAUGCCGCGUGUGUGAAGAAGGCCUUCGGGUUGUAAAGCACUUUCAGCGGGGAGGAAGGCGAUAAGGUUAAUAACCUUGUCGAUUGACGUUACCCGCAGAAGAAGCACCGGCUAACUCCGUGCCAGCAGCCGCGGUAAUACGGAGGGUGCAAGCGUUAAUCGGAAUUACUGGGCGUAAAGCGCACGCAGGCGGUCUGUCAAGUCGGAUGUGAAAUCCCCGGGCUCAACCUGGGAACUGCAUUCGAAACUGGCAGGCUAGAGUCUUGUAGAGGGGGGUAGAAUUCCAGGUGUAGCGGUGAAAUGCGUAGAGAUCUGGAGGAAUACCGGUGGCGAAGGCGGCCCCCUGGACAAAGACUGACGCUCAGGUGCGAAAGCGUGGGGAGCAAACAGGAUUAGAUACCCUGGUAGUCCACGCCGUAAACGAUGUCGAUUUGGAGGUUGUGCCCUUGAGGCGUGGCUUCCGGAGCUAACGCGUUAAAUCGACCGCCUGGGGAGUACGGCCGCAAGGUUAAAACUCAAAUGAAUUGACGGGGGCCCGCACAAGCGGUGGAGCAUGUGGUUUAAUUCGAUGCAACGCGAAGAACCUUACCUGGUCUUGACAUCCACAGAACUUACCAGAGAUGCUUUGGUGCCUUCGGGAACUGUGAGACAGGUGCUGCAUGGCUGUCGUCAGCUCGUGUUGUGAAAUGUUGGGUUAAGUCCCGCAACGAGCGCAACCCUUAUCCUUUGUUGCCAGCGGUUAGGCCGGGAACUCAAAGGAGACUGCCAGUGAUAAACUGGAGGAAGGUGGGGAUGACGUCAAGUCAUCAUGGCCCUUACGACCAGGGCUACACACGUGCUACAAUGGCAUAUACAAAGAGAAGCGACCUCGCGAGAGCAAGCGGACCUCAUAAAGUAUGUCGUAGUCCGGAUUGGAGUCUGCAACUCGACUCCAUGAAGUCGGAAUCGCUAGUAAUCGUAGAUCAGAAUGCUACGGUGAAUACGUUCCCGGGCCUUGUACACACCGCCCGUCACACCAUGGGAGUGGGUUGCAAAAGAAGUAGGUAGCUUAACCUUCGGGAGGGCGCUUACCACUUUGUGAUUCAUGACUGGGGUGAAGUCGUAACAAGGUAGCCGUAC
rnacentral:rRNA from 1 species